rnacentral:lncRNA from 10 species
GAGUUACUCUAAUGAAAACAACAGAAGAAAUACAAGAAAGAUUCUAACAUAGAAAAAAAUGUUCAACCUCACUGAAAACCUGUGUACUCGGCAGCCAACUUAAGAAACAGAAACUUUGAUGGCAGAGGUGGGCGGAUUACUUAAGACCAGGAGUUCGAGACCAGCCUGGCCAACAUGGUGAAACUCCAUCUCUACUAAAAUUACAAAAAUUAGCUGGGUGUGGUGGUGCAUGCUUGUAAUCCCAGCUACUUGGGAGGCUGAGGCAGAAGAACCACUUGAACCCAGGAGGCUGAGCUUGCAGUGAUCUGAGAUCCUGCCACUGCACUCCUGCCUUGGCAACAGAAUGAGACACUGUCUCAAAACAAAACAAAAAAAGAAAUAGAAACUUUGCAUCUUUCUCUCCCAUUCCAAUUAAUUACUAUACUGAAGUUUGUAUUAGUAAAUCCUUUGAUUUUCAUUAGUUUGUGUAUCCUUAUUGCUUAAGCAAUAUAUUGUUUAGUUUUGCCUCUUUUUUACCUUUACUGUAUUUUUACUCUUACUAAAUAUAUAUUUCUAUGUCUUGCUUUUUACACUCAAUAUUGUUUGAAGCUUGUCUGUGUUGAUGCAUGUAACUGUAGUCUGCCCAUUUUCCUUGAUGGAUAGCAUUCCGAUAUGUAAAUUACCAACUUGCUCGGAGGUGCAGCCAUUAAAUCCUCAUUUUGAGCAAUCACCCCAAGUAAGACUGAUGCAGGUGGACUUUUGCUCACACUUCGGGAAUUACUGUCUUAGAGGACACAGUCCGAGCUCUUACCUCCCAGUUUCCCAAGUCUCUACAUCAGCCUUUUAAUUUUAGUAGAACUGUUUGUUUUCCUUUUCCAAAAAUAUUUUCUCAUCAUUCUUCGCCUAGAUAAUUCUUAUGCUUUAAGUCUCUCCAUUAAGCUAUAAACUCCUCCAAACAUUGUCAUUAUUAUCAUUGUUGUCACUGACAUUUAUGGAGCAGAUACAGUGUACCAGGUAGUUAGUACAAAGAGUUUUACAUGGAUCAUCUCAUUAAUGCUCGUCCAAACCCAUGAAAAAGGUGCUGGGAUUAGCAUCAUUUUACAGAUAAGGAAGUAAGGGUCAGAGAGAUUAAGUAACUUGCCCAAAGUUAAACAGCUCUGGAAUGUGGAUCUCUUUAACUAUCUUACUUGUCUCUGAACCUCUAGGAUCUAGGGUAGGACUUUGGUGUGUGGAAGGCACUUGAUUAAUGUCUGUUGAGCUGCACUGAAAGGAAAAGCCAAGGAGACCAGAUGGAAAACAAUCCGUUUAGUUCAGAUGAUGGCAGUGGGGAUGGAAAAGAGGAGCUGGAAAUAAGACUUGGCAUGACAGACUAUUACAUAGCUGAAUCUGGGGCGUGAGGUUAGGGCAGGGAAUGAGGAAGGGACAAGGCAUUUCCAUUUUUUCACUUUGAGCACUUCUGUAUUUUCUGGAAAUGUUUACAACAAGCACGUGGUGCUUUAAUAAUUUUUUUUAAAGAAGAGAAAGUGUAGAGGCAGCAACUACAUGACUAGGCACCAGCAAAAUAUAGAAAAAAAAGGACAAAAAGAAAUCCAAGCUGACCAGCAGGCUUCUGGCAAGGCAAUGUAGGAGAAUGGGGAAUUGAAGGCAGAAAGAGAAAUGCCUGGGGGAAUGCUUCCGGGGGAGAUACUGACUGUAAUUUGGAGAGUCUGCUUUUGGGAAGCAGCAGGUCAUUCUGGGGAGGUCUCCACCAAGUAGCUAGACUUGUAGGUCUGAAAUUCAGGAGAGAGGUUGAGCCAGACCCAUGCUCUGAGAAAUGAUGGUUGAAGUCAUAAGCUAAAUGUGCGGAGCAAAAAAGAAAGAAGAAAGAAGACCUCAACCAAAGUGUUGACAGGGUCAGGCAUAUCUGAGUGGAAGAAGAAGAGGAGCCAGGGAAGGUACUUGAAGAGGAGCAGCCAGAAAUGUAGGAGAAUCAUCUCUCAACCUCAUAGUCACCAAUGGAAAAGAUAAUUUUUUUAAAAAGGCAUAUGGGCCUGGUGCAGUAGCUCACACCUGUAAUCCCAGCGCUUUGGGAGGCCAAGGUGGGAGAGUUGCUUGAGGUCAGGAGUUCAAGACCAGCCUGGGCAACAUAGGGGAACCCUGUCUCUAGCAAAGUUAUUAUUAUUAUUAUUAUUAUUAUUAUUGGAGAUGGAGUUUCGCUCUUGUCACCUGGGCUGGAGUGCAAUGACACGAUCUCAGCUCACUGCAACCUCCGCCUCCCAGGUUCAAGUGAUUCUCCUGCCUCAGCCUCCCGAGUAGCUGGGAUCACAGGCGCCCACGACCACGCCUGGCUAAUUUUUGUACUUUUACUAGAGACGGGGUUUCACCAUAUUAGCCAUGCUGGUCUCAAACUCCUGACCUCAGGUGAUCCACUCGCCUGGACCUCCCAAAGUGCUGGGAUUACAAGCAUGAGCCACCACACCUGGCCUCUACCAAAAAUUUUAAAAGGCCGGGCUUGGUGGCAUGUGCCUGUAGUCCUAGCUGUUACUCAGGAGGCUGAGACAGGAGGAUUGCUUGAGUCUGGGAGGUUGAGGCUGCAGUGAGCCAUGAUCGCACCACUGCUCUCCAGCCUCAGCAAAAGAAUGAGACCCCAUCUCUAAAAAAUAAUAAACAUAUGUAAAUGGCAUCAAACAGUAAAGAGUUGUUGAAUCAGAAGAAGACUAACAAGAGGCCUUCAGAUGUGGAAAUUAAGUCUUUUUUUUUUUUUAAGAGACAAGUUCUAGCUCUGUCACGCAAUCUGGAGUACGGUGG